rnacentral:rRNA from 1 species
CCUACGGGCUGCAGCAGUGAGGAAUAUUGGUCAAUGGGCGCGAGCCUGAACCAGCCAAGUAGCGUGAAGGAUGACUGCCCUACGGGUUGUAAACAUCUUUUAUAAAGGAAUAAAGUGAGGCACGUGUGCCUUUUUGAAUGUACUUUAUGAAUAAGGAACGGCUAACUCCGUUCCAGGAGCCGCGGUAAUACGGAGGAUCCGAGCGUUAUCCGGAUUGAUUGGGUUUAAAGGGAGCGGAGAUGGGUUGUUAAGUCAGUUGUGAAAGUUUGCGGCUCAACCGUAAAAUUGCAAUUGAUACUGGCAGGCUUGAGGACAGUUGAGGUAGGUGGAAUUCGUGGUGUAGCGGUGAAAUGCUUAGAGAUCACGAAGAACUCCGAUUGCGAAGGCAGCUUACUAAACUGCCACUGACAUUGAUGCUCGAAAGUGUGGGGAUCAAACAGGAUUAGAUACCCGAGUAGUC